UCAUAAAAGCAUGUGGAAAUUAAAGGAAAUAUGGCCCUUCCCUCAAUAGGACUCAACCCGCACAGGAAGACCUCCGGGAUUGGUCUUGUCGCAGGUUGGACACUUUAGGACCUUUUCUUUUAUCUUUGCCUCCUGUAGAAUUUUAAUAUGCAUAAACUCACAUUGGCCACAAGUUGAAGAAGAAACAACCUCGUGGAAUCCAAAUCACAGAAGGAUAAGGAAAAAGAAGU
rnacentral:lncRNA from 1 species